rnacentral:rRNA from 1 species
AGAGCGAACGCUGGCGGCAGGCCUAACACAUGCAAGUCGAGCGCCCGUAGCAAUACGGGAGCGGCAGACGGGAUAGUAACACGUGGGAACGCGCCCUUCGGUUCGGAAUAACUCAGGGAAACUUGAGCUAAUACCGGAUACGCCCUUACGGGGAAAGAUUUAUUGCCGAAGGAACGGCCCGCGUCCGAUUAGCUAGUUGGUGAGGUAAUGGCUCACCAAGGCGACGAUCGGUAGCUGGUCUGAGAGGAUGACCAGCAUCACUGGGACUGAGACACGGCCCAGACUCCUACGGGAGGCAGCAGUGGGGAAUAUUGGACAAUGGGCGCAAGCCUGAUCCAGCCAUGCCGCGUGGAUGAUGAAGGCCUUAGGGUUGUAAAGUCCUUUUAACGGGGAAGAUAAUGACGGUACCCGUAGAAUAAGCCCCGGCUAACUUCGUGCCAGCAGCCAC